rnacentral:rRNA from 1 species
UACGGGGGGGGCAAGCGUUGUUCGGAAUUACUGGGCGUAAAGGGCUCGUAGGCGGCCAACUAAGUCAGACGUGAAAUCCCUCGGCUUAACCGGGGAACUGCAUCUGAUACUGGAUGGCUUGAGGUUGGGAGAGGGAUGCGGAAUUCCAGGUGUAGCGGUGAAAUGCGUAGAUAUCUGGAGGAACACCGGUGGCGAAGGCGGCAUCCUAGACCAAUUCUGACGCUGAGUGAGCGAAAGCCAGGGGAGCAAACGGG